rnacentral:rRNA from 1 species
AACGAACGCUGGCGGCAUGCCCUAACACAUGCAAGUCGAACGCUAUUUAUAGAGUGGCGCACGGGUGAGUAACGCGUGGAAACCUACCAUUCUGUACGGAAUAACGAUUGGAAACGAUCGCUAAUACCGUAUACGCCCUGUGGGGGAAAGGUCCGCCGCAGAAUGAGGGGUCCGCGUCCGAUUAGCUUGUUGGUGAGGUAAGAGCUCACCAAGGCGACGAUCGGUAGCUGGUCUGAGAGGAUGAUCAGCCACACUGGGACUGAGACACGGCCCAGACUCCUACGGGAGGCAGCAGUGGGGAAUAUUGGACAAUGGGGGCAACCCUGAUCCAGCAAUGCCGCGUGUGUGAUGAAGGCCUUAGGGUUGUAAAGCACUUUCACUGGUGAAGAUGAUGACGGUAGCCAGAGAAGAAGCCCCGGCUAACUUCGUG